UGCAGUCGAGCGACUGAUUAGAAGCUUGCUUCUAUGACGUUAGCGGCGGACGGGUGAGUAACACGUGGGCAACCUGCCUGUAAGACUGGGAUAACUUCGGGAAAUCGAAGCUAAUACCGGAUAGGAUCUUCUCCUUCAUGGGAGAUGAUUGAAAGAUGGUUUCGGCUAUCACUUACAGAUGGGCCCGCGGUGCAUUAGCUAGUUGGUGAGGUAACGGCUCACCAAGGCAACGAUGCAUAGCCGACCUGAGAGGGUGAUCGGCCACACUGGGACUGAGACACGGCCCAGACUCCUACGGGAGGCAGCAGUAGGGAAUCUUCCGCAAUGGACGAAAGUCUGACGGAGCAACGCCGCGUGAGUGAUGAAGGCUUUCGGGUCGUAAAACUCUGUUGUUAGGGAAGAAUAAGUACGAGAGUAACUGCUCGUACCUUGACGGUACCUAACCAGAAAGCCACGGCUAACUACGUGCCAGCAGCCGCGGUAAUACGUAGGUGGCAAGCGUUAUCCGGAAUUAUUGGGCGUAAAGCGCGCGCAGGCGGUUUCUUAAGUCUGAUGUGAAAGCCCACGGCUCAACCGUGGAGGGUCAUUGGAAACUGGGGAACUUGAGUGCAGAAGAGAAAAGCGGAAUUCCACGUGUAGCGGUGAAAUGCGUAGAGAUGUGGAGGAACACCAGUGGCGAAGGCGGCUUUUUGGUCUGUAACUGACGCUGAGGCGCGAAAAGCGUGGGGAGCAAACAGGAUUAGAUACCCUGGUAGUCCACGCCCGUAAACGAUGAAUUGCUAAGUGUUAGAGGGUUUCCGCCCUUUUAGUGCUGCAAGCUAAACGCAUUAAGCACUCCCCCCUGGGGGAUACGGUCGCCAAGACUGAAAACUUCAAAGGAAAUUGACGGGGGGCCC
rnacentral:rRNA from 1 species